GACGAACGCUGGCGGCGUGCUUAACACAUGCAAGUCGAACGGAAAGGCCCUGCUUGCAGGGUACUCGAGUGGUGAACGGGUGAGUAACACGUGGGUGAUCUGCCCUGCACUUCGGGAUAAGCCUGGGAAACUGGGUCUAAUACCGGAUAUGACCUUCCAUGUAGUGUGGGGGGUGGAAAGAUUUAUCGGUGUGGGAUGAGCCCGCGGCCUAUCAGCUUGUUGGUGGGGUAAUGGCCUACCAAGGCGUCGACGGGUAGCCGGCCUGAGAGGGUGGACGGCCACAUUGGGACUGAGAUACGGCCCAGACUCCUACGGGAGGCAGCAGUGGGGAAUAUUGCACAAUGGGCGGAAGCCUUAUGCAGCGACGCCGCGUGGGGGAUGACGGCCUUCGGGUUGUAAACCUCUUUCGACAGGGACGAAGCUUCGGUGACGGUACCUGUAGAAGAAGCACCGGCUAACUACGUG
rnacentral:rRNA from 1 species